CGGAGGAUGCGAGCGUUAUCCGGAUUUAUUGGGUUUAAAGGGUGCGCAGUCGGUACGGAAAGUCAGCGGUAAAAUUACGGAGCUCAACUCCGCCGAGCCGUUGAAACUUCCGCACUAGAGUGAGCGAGAAGUAAGCGGAAUGCGUGGUGUAGCGGUGAAAUGCAUAGAUAUCACGCAGAACGCCGAUUGCGAAGGCAGCUUACCGGCGCUCAACUGACGCUCAGGCACGAAAGUGCGGGUAUCGA
rnacentral:rRNA from 1 species